CGAACGAGAAGAGAUGAGAAGCUUGCUUCUUAUCAAUUCGAGUGGCAAACGGGUGAGUAACGCGUAAGCAACCUGCCCUUCAGAUGGGGACAACAGCUGGAAACGGCUGCUAAUACCGAAUGUUGUAUCUCCUCCGCAUGGAAAUGUGAUGAAAGAUGGCCUCUAUUUAUAAGCUAUCGCUAAGGGAUGGGCCUGCGUCUGAUUAGCUAGUUGGUGGGGCAACGGCCUACCAAGGCGACGAUCAGUAGCCGGUCUGAGAGGAUGAACGGCCACAUUGGAACUGAGACACGGUCCAGACUCCUACGGGAGGCAGCAGUGGGGAAUCUUCCGCAAUGGGCGAAAGCCUGACGGAGCAAUGCCGCGUGAGUGAUGAAGGGAUUCGUUCCGUAAAGCUCUUUUGUUUAUGACGAAUGUGCAGAUUGUGAAUAAUGAUCUGUAAUGACGGUAGUAAACGAAUAAGCCACGGCUAACUACGUG
rnacentral:rRNA from 1 species